UUUUAGCGCUUUGUUCUUUCAGCGUCUGUGUGUGGUGAUUUAGAUUCUAGAAUCGAGAGAUCUAGUGAUUAUUGACAAUGCAGUCUGCCAAGCUGAAACUGAUCACACCAAUCAGUAGGUGACAAGUUUCAGAGUGCAACAGAAUAGCCAUCUAAGCCACAUAGCUUCUAAGCGCUAAAUAUAUAUAUAUGGAAAUGGCACCGAGAAUAUUUGAUAGCAUGUUGCCUGUUCAUCCUUUGAGUGAAAUUUCUUUGGAAAAAAAUAUUACAUCCAAGACAAAAUCUGUAACAACACAGCAGAUUCAGGACCACACUGAGAGGUGACCAUUCAGAAAGGUCGUUAGAUGAGAUUUUAUACAUUUUAUUUGGAGGUCCAGGCUUAACUAGAGGCUAGACUUUCAAGAAUGUGCUGUUGUUUUGGGUUUCAAGCAUCAAAUAAAUCUGGUGCAUGUGACCAAGAGAAGUGUCAGAAAGAAAAAAAAAGGUGCCAGUUAUUUAGGCUCCUCAAGUUAAUUACCAAAGGGACAUCUUAAAAAGCAAUUUUUGGCGCUGACACGCAGCUCCAUUAGACAACCAGGAUUGCUGGCCAUUCUCCGCUUGCUACAAGAUAAUUAUAGCUUCAUUGCACUGAUACUGCAAGAGCCGAAUACAAUGGUAACAUUGUCAUACAACUUUCAACACUUAAGGAUGUAUUCUUAGAUGAUACUAUUUUCAAUCUUAAUGCCACUUAAGGGCUCAUUCUCUCUUUUUAAUAUCCACAUUUUUACAUCAAAUACAACAAAAAUAUAUUGUACCAUUUUUUUUUUAUAUUCUUUUUCUUUUUACUUUUUAUUACCUAACAUGUUUUUGCCUUUUUUUUGCAUCAAAGGGAACAAAUUAAGGUGGAUGAUCAUUUAAUCCUAAUACAUGUACUUACUUUUUUUUAUCUCAGUUUUCCAUAAUUCUUUUGGUGAAUAUUUUUCUGAAAAUAUAUAUAUAUUGUUUUACAACCUUAGGUCCAGGCCACCACAAUUAGAACAAUAAUGUUAGGAUCUAAUCUCAUGGCUAUGCCAAAUCAUUUAUUUUGUAAGUAAUGAGGGGGUUUUUAAUUUAGUUUGCUUAACUAUAGGGUAAUAUUUUUUAUGCUGUCCCCCACUCACAUAAGAAUUAUAAUAUAAUUUUUUUGGAAAAUAAAUAUAUCAUUUCUUUAAAUAAGGAAAAAUAGAAGUUAUGGUGGGUGUAAGUGGAUUUACAUAAAAGUAAAUGAAUUUGAUUCGUCUACAUAUUGAUCAAGAUGUUUGUAGGCAUAGCAUUUUUGCACAGUCCGUUGACUUAAAAACAAUCACAGGAACUACUUUCAGAUGACUUUACUGUUUUUUUCUUUUACGUACAACGUCUAAGAGCACCUCCUCAAU
rnacentral:sRNA from 1 species